rnacentral:rRNA from 1 species
CGGACGGGUGAGUAACGCGUGGGUAACCUGCCUUGUACUGGGGGACAACAGUUAGAAAUGACUGCUAAUACCGCAUAAGCGCACAGUAUCGCAUGAUACGGUGUGAAAAGCUCCGGUGGUACAAGAUGGACCCGCGUCUGAUUAGCUAGUUGGUAAGGUAACGGCUUACCAAGGCGACGAUCAGUAGCCGACCUGAGAGGGUGACCGGCCACAUUGGGACUGAGACACGGCCCAA